CUAGUUCGAACGUAAUAGAAGGUAUAUUUUCUUAACUAAAGUGAUAAACAAUGUCUAUCUCACCAUUCCUGCGGGCCCCGUUUACUGAUAUCACUGGUGGAAUGAUAUCCCACCAGAUGUUAGGCAAGUGCCAGAAAGAAGAAAUACGUUACAUGGAUUGCUUAGAGGCCUAUGGAUUGGACAGAGGCCGAGUCAAAUGUGCACAAAUAUUUGAAGAUUUCCAUGAAUGUCAGACCCAUACUAAACAAUUUAAAAGAUUUAUGGCCAUGAGGAGGGAAAGAGAUAGACAAAUAGCAGAUGGAACAUUGAAAGGUGAUAACAAAUAUGUCAGCCCAAGAGUGGACAGUUAUUAAUCAUUUGUAGAGCAAUUGUCUUAUUAUAAAUAUUGCAAAAUAGAUCAUUUUAAGUGCUAUAAUAUUGUUUUCUUGGAAUAAAAAAAUUUAAACU